rnacentral:rRNA from 1 species
CACGUAGGAGGCGAGCGUUAUUCGGAUUUACUGGGCGUAAAGCGCGUGCAGGCGGCUAAUCAAGUUGGAUGUGAAAGCUCCCGGCUUAACUGGGAGAGGACGUUCAAAACUGAAUAGCUUGAGUAUGAGAGAGGAAAAUGGAAUUCCGGGUGUAGUGGUGAAAUGCGUAGAUAUCCGGAGGAACACCAGUGGCGAAGGCGAUUUUCUGGCUCAAGACUGACGCUCAGACGCGAAAGCUAGGGUAGCAAACGGG